AGUGAACGCUGGCGGUAGGCCUAACACAUGCAAGUCGAACGGCAGCACAGUAAGAGCUUGCUCUUACGGGUGGCGAGUGGCGGACGGGUGAGGAAUACAUCGGAAUCUACUUUUUCGUGGGGGAUAACGUAGGGAAACUUACGCUAAUACCGCAUACGACCUACGGGUGAAAGCAGGGGAUCUUCGGACCUUGCGCGAUUGAAUGAGCCGAUGUCGGAUUAGCUAGUUGGCGGGGUAAAGGCCCACCAAGGCGACGAUCCGUAUCUGGUCUGAGAGGAUGAUCAGCCACACUGGAACUGAGACACGGUCCAGACUCCUACGGGAGGCAGCAGUGGGGAAUAUUGGACAAUGGGCGCAAGCCUGAUCCAGCAAUACCGCGUGGGUGAAGAAGGCCUUCGGGUUGUAAAGCCCUUUUGUUGGGAAAGAAAAGCAGCAGGUUAAUACCCCGCUGUUCUGACGGUACCCAAAGAAUAAGCACCGGCUAACUUCGUG
rnacentral:rRNA from 1 species